rnacentral:rRNA from 1 species
GCAGGCCUAACACAUGCAAGUCGAGCGGUAGCACAAGAGAGCUUGCUCUCUGGGUGACGAGCGGCGGACGGGUGAGUAAUGUCUGGGAAACUGCCUGAUGGAGGGGGAUAACUACUGGAAACGGUAGCUAAUACCGCAUGAUGUCUUCGGACCAAAGUGGGGGACCUUCGGGCCUUACGCCAUCAGAUGUGCCCAGAUGGGAUUAGCUAGUAGGUGGGGUAAUGGCUCACCUAGGCGACGAUCUCUAGCUGGUCUGAGAGGAUGACCAGCCACACUGGAACUGAGACACGGUCCAGACUCCUACGGGAGGCAGCAGUGGGGAAUAUUGCACAAUGGGCGCAAGCCUGAUGCAGCCAUGCCGCGUGUAUGAAGAAGGCCUUCGGGUUGUAAAGUACUUUCAGCGAGGAGGAAGGCAUUAAGGUUAGUAACCUUAGUGAUUGACGUUACUCGCAGAAGAAGCACCGGCUAACUCCGUGCCAGCAGCCGCGGUAAUACGGAGGGUGCAAGCGUUAAUCGGAAUUACUGGGCGUAAAGCGCACGCAGGCGGUUGAUUAAGUCAGAUGUGAAAUCCCCGAGCUUAACUUGGGAACUGCAUUUGAAACUGGUCAGCUAGAGUCUUGUAGAGGGGGGUAGAAUUCCAGGUGUAGCGGUGAAAUGCGUAGAGAUCUGGAGGAAUACCGGUGGCGAAGGCGGCCCCCUGGACAAAGACUGACGCUCAGGUGCGAAAGCGUGGGGAGCAAACAGGAUUAGAUACCCCUGGUAGUCCACGCUGUAAACGAUGUCGACUUGGAGGUUGUGCCCUUGAGGCGUGGCUUCCGGAGCUAACGCGUUAAGUCGACCGCCUGGGGAGUACGGCCGCGAGGUUAAAACUCAAAUGAAUUGACGGGGGCCCGCACAAGCGGUGGAGCAUGUGGUUUAAUUCGAUGCAACGCGAAGAACCUUACCUACUCUUGACAUCCAGAGAAUUUGCUAGAGAUAGCUUAGUGCCUUCGGGAACUCUGAGACAGGUGCUGCAUGGCUGUCGUCAGCUCGUGUUGUGAAAUGUUGGGUUAAGUCCCGCAACGAGCGCAACCCUUAUCCUUUGUUGCCAGCGAGUAAUGUCGGGAACUCAAAGGAGACUGCCGGUGAUAAACCGGAGGAAGGUGGGGAUGACGUCAAGUCAUCAUGGCCCUUACGAGUAGGGCUACACACGUGCUACAAUGGCAUAUACAAAGAGAAGCGAACUCGCGAGAGCAAGCGGACCUCAUAAAGUAUGUCGUAGUCCGGAUUGGAGUCUGCAACUCGACUCCAUGAAGUCGGAAUCGCUAGUAAUCGUAGAUCAGAAUGCUACGGUGAAUACGUUCCCGGGCCUUGUACACACCGCCCGUCACACCAUGGGAGUGGGUUGCAAAAGAAGUAGGUAGCUUAACCUUCGGGAGGGCGCUUACCACUUUGUGAUUCAUGACUGGGGUGAA